rnacentral:rRNA from 1 species
UACGUAGGGGGCUAGCGUUGUUCGGAAUCACUGGGCGUAAAGGGCGCGUAGGCGGCUUUAUAAGUCGGGGGUGAAAGCCUGUGGCUCAACCACAGAAUUGCCUUCGAUACUGUAGAGCUUGAGACCGGAAGAGGUAAGUGGAACUGCGAGUGUAGAGGUGAAAUUCGUAGAUAUUCGCAAGAACACCAGUGGCGAGGGCGGCUUACUGGUCCGGUUCUGACGCUGAGGCGCGAAAGCGUGGGGAGCAAACAGG